AAGUACAUAGCUUAAUCAAAUUUUUCUUCUUCCUUCUUUUAUGCGUGACACUUGGAUUGCCAAAUGUCCAAUUUUUCUCUCUUCUUUCAUGACUCACCCUGUCUCAUAAUAUCUAUAAAUUGCAAUUAAAAUAUCAGUCAUUUUCAAGCUCAAAACCCAACUCAAAUUAUGAGUUUUAAUUCAAAAAGAUUGAGCUUUUCUUCUUCCCUAUUUGGCGAGCUAUGGCUUCCAUAAUCAGCUAAUUUGAGCUUCUAAUUUUGCCCAACAAUACCCACAAAGAACACCAAUUUAAUCAGAAAUUUAUGAACCCAAAAACCCAAAUUAUUUUACAAUUUUCGGCCAUUUUCUCUCUCCUCUGUUUCGACCACCGCGGCACCCUCCUGAAAACCGCACCACCACUGGUGCCGGCGAACCUCUUUGGCCGCCACCCAGCCACGUUCUUGGCUCCCCUUUUUCCGCGGCUGCUAUGGCCUCUGUUUCCCGUUGCUUCGUUUUUUUUUGGGUAAAGUGUUUCCCGUUGCUUCGUGUUGUAGCCUCUUUGAUUUUCCAUUUUUAUGACAAAUUAUAAUCCAAUUGUUAAAAGGGAGUUGAUAUUUAUUAGCUCAAGUGGGCCAGCUGUUAGGGAGCAGCUAUUAUUAUUAACGUAAUGGGCUUUUAAAAGACUAAGAAGUAUGAUGCAAUUGGGAUUUUGUUAUCAUGUUCGUAUAAUAAAGAUUAAGCCAAGUGGUACACUAUCGAGGUUCGAUUAAGGAGCUCAAGUUGCUUAAAGAAGAGUUAUUACUGGAGUUGGUUAUUUAUUAUGGAGAUAUCGAGAUGAGAAAUUAUUUAUUAUGGAAAUCCUGUUAUUGAGGUCCCAGGAUUAAUUAAGCCUAAUUCCGCUGCCAGUGAUCAGUUAAGUACAAUUUAUUACCGAUAAUUAAGGAGCCGAAAAGUCGGGGCGUUACAGUAUGAAUGAGGAUUUCUUAUUGUAAACUAUUUGUAAUUCAAUUUUUUGUUUAUUUAUUUAGUCGAAUCUACAAAAGUUUGUGACUACCUCUUGAAUUUUGUUUUUGAUUGC